rnacentral:rRNA from 1 species
GACGAACGCUGGCGGCGUGCUUAACACAUGCAAGUGGAGCGAGGAACCGGGCUUCGGCCCGGGGCAAAGCCGCGAACGGGUGAGUAUCACGUGGGUAACCUGCCCCGAUGACCGGGAUAACCCGAGGAAACUCGGGCUAAUACCGGAUGUGCUCUCCAUCCACCAGGGUGGAAAACAAAGGAAGCUUCGGCCUCCGCAUUGGGAUGGGCCCGCGGCCCAUUAGCUUGUUGGUGAGGUAAAGGCUCACCAAGGCAACGAUGGGUAGCUGGUCUGAGAGGACGAUCAGCCACACUGGGACUGAGACACGGCCCAGACUCCUACGGGAGGCAGCAGUGGGGAAUCUUGCGCAAUGCGCGAAAGCGUGACGCAGCAACGCCGCGUGAGGGAAGAAGGCCUUCGGGUUGUAAACCUCUUUCAGGAGGGACGAAGGUUCAGGCGCGAACAGCGUCCUGGACUGACGGUACCUCCAGAAGAAGCCCCGGCUAACUACGUGCCAGCAGCCGCAGUAAAGA